rnacentral:ncRNA from 12 species
CUCUAUUGAGGUCGGAAAUGGCACCCGACACACUCUGAAAAGAGUACCUGAGAUGCAACGAGUGCCGCCUUGCCAAUAGUA